GGUCUGGUGGUGUAACGGUAACACGCCUACUUUACUUAAUGCUGUAGGCUCCAUGAAGGUUUCGGUAGGAGCACCUUGUUCGACUCAAGGCCAGGCCC